UGGCCGACAUCAGGUGUCCCAAGUGCCUUAUAUCUGCAAAGAACACUCAGCAAUUGUGCCUUAGAGCUACUGGUGGAAAGAGCAGGAAAGGAGCUGUCCCACGACUCGCGCGGAGGUCACAGAAGCAGCUGAAGACCCUAGGCUGGUGGGUGUAGAUUGUAAUAACUUAGUCGAUGGUCUCUAAAGAAAGGUUGCUAGGAGCUGCGAGGUAUGGGAAAACAAGGUCCUCGAGGUACCAUAAAGUCUCCUGCGGGCUGUACAACUGUAUUCUAUCGUAGUUUGGUGUUGCUCUUUUUUGGGAGGGUGCGGGGGUACUUUUAAAAAAGUUUCCGCAUUCAAUUCACUUGGUUGGCUGAGCUGUACUUGGAAAAUACACUGGGAGUCCCCUCGGCCCACACGUUGGCGCUCAGUUUCCUUCCACCCACAGAGUAUUCAGGUGUUAAUCACCAGCUCUCUUUUCCCUAUGUGCGCAGCAACUCCAAGGAAUUUGACAACCUUUGCCUUCUGCUUUUACUCGCUGACCUCACCACCCGAAAGUUGCCAUUUUCCCGGAGGAAGGAAGGCUCUGCCCAUGCACUGGGUCCCAUUUCCAGCGGGCUUUGCUGAGCCAUCGCUGUCAGCCUCUUUGCCUCUCACCCCCCUCCUACACCCGUCUUUGCCCAUCCCCACAACUCUCCUCACGCGCUCAGCUCCGCAGACUGCCAAACCCCCACCCCUGCGGAGCAACUCGGGGAACUCGGCCCCCUACGUCCAGGCCUGCCCUCCCACUGGGCCUGUUGCCCUUUCCACUUCCUUUUGUGACUGCAGAGGCACAGCGCUCACCUGUACAGAGGCGAG
rnacentral:lncRNA from 1 species